UUCGCAAUGCCCGAAAGGGUGACGGUGCGACGCCGCGUGAGCGAAGAAGGCCCUAGGGUUGUAAAGCUCUGUCGAGGGUUAUGAAAUAUAGAUGGGUUAAUACCCCAUUUAUUUGACAAAAGCCCAAAAGGAAGCCACGGCUAACUCUGUGCCAGCAGCCGCGGUAAUACAGAGGUGGCGAGCGUUGUUCGGUAUUAUUGGGCGUAAAGAGCACGUAGGUGGUUUUGUAAGUCAGGUGUGAAAGCCUUCUGUUCAAAGGAAGAACGGCAUCUGAAACUGCAGAUCUUGAGUGUAGGAGGGGAGAGUGGAACUUCUGGUGGAGCGGUGAAAUGCGUAGAUAUCAGAAGGAACGUCGGCGGCGAAAGCGACUCUCUGGCCUAUUACUGACACUGAGGUGCGAAAGUUAGGGGAGCAAACGGGAUUAGAUACCCCGGUAGUCCUAACCGUAAACGAUGGGCACUAAGUAGAGGGGUUUU
rnacentral:rRNA from 1 species